rnacentral:rRNA from 1 species
UUGAUCAUGGCUCAGGACGAACGCUGGCGGCGUGCUUAACACAUGAAAGUCGACCGAGGCCCCUUCCUUCGGGAAGGGUGUCCUAGCGGCGAACGGGUGAGUAACACGUGGGCAACCUGCCCCUAGCUCUGGGAUAAGCCGGGGAAACCCGGUCUAAUACCGGAUACGACCUCGAAGGGCAUCCUCCGAGGUGGAAAGGGUUUACUGGCUAGGGAUGGGCCCGCGGCCUAUCAGCUUGUUGGUGGGGUAACGGCCCACCAAGGCUUCGACGGGUAGCCGGCCUGAGAGGGCGACCGGCCACACUGGGACUGAGACACGGCCCAGACUCGUACGGGAGGCAGCAGUGGGGAAUAUUGCACAAUGGGCGAAAGCCUGAURCAGCGACGCCGCGUGAGGGAUGACGGCCUUCGGGUUGUAAACCUCUUUCAGCAGGGACGAAGCGAAAGUGACGGUAC